rnacentral:rRNA from 1 species
GAUAAACGCUAGCGGCAGGCUUAACACAUGCAAGUCGAGGGGCAGCAUAGAUUGUAGCAAUACAAUUGGUGGCGACCGGCGCACGGGUGCGUAACGCGUAUGCAACCUACCCGUCACCGGGGGAUAAUCCGGAGAAAUCUGGUCUAAUACCCCAUAACAUAUGGAUCGGCAUCGGUUCAUGUUGAAAUUUUCGGAGGUGACGGAUGGGCAUGCGUAGCAUUAGCUUGUUGGUGAGGUAACGGCUCACCAAGGCGACGAUGCUUAGGGGGACUGAGAGGUUUUCCCCCCACACUGGUACUGAGACACGGACCAGACUCCUACGGGAGGCAGCAGUGAGGAAUAUUGGUCAAUGGGCGCAAGCCUGAACCAGCCAUGCCGCGUGCAGGAUGACGGCUCUAUGAGCUGUAAACUGCUUUUGUACGAGGGUAAAGUGGGUUACGUGUAACCUUUUGAAAGUAUCGUACGAAUAAGGAUCGGCUAACUCCGUGCCAGCCGCCGCAGUAA